rnacentral:rRNA from 1 species
CGCAGAGAAUAGUCCCAAGCAACUGUUUAACAAAAACACAGGUUUCUGCUAAAUCGAAAGAUGAAGUAUAGGAGCUGACACCUGCCCAGUUCUGGAAGGUUAAGGGGAAAUGUCAAGAGUAAUCUGAAGCAUAGAACCAAAGCCCCAGUGAACGGCGGCCGUAACUAUAACGGUCCUAAGGUAGCGAAAUUCCUUGUCAGGUAAGUUCUGACCCGCACGAAAGGUGUAAUGAUUUGGGAGCUGUCUCGACAAUGUACUCGGCGAAAUUGUAGUACUAGUGAAGAUGCUAGUUACCUGCGACAAGACAGAAAGACCCCAUGGAGCUUUACUGCAGCUUGAUACUGGGUUUCGGUAAUUUAUGUACAGGAUAGGUGGGAUGCUAAGAAGUAUGUGCGCCAGCGCAUAUGGAGCAGACGUUGGGAUACCACCCUUAAAUUACUGGAAUUCUAACUAUAAGUCCUAAGCGGGCUUGAGGACAAUGUCAGGCGGGCAGUUUGACUGGGGCGGUCGCCUCCUAAAGAGUAACGGAGGCGCGCAAAGGUUUCCUCAGCGCGGACAGAAAUCGCGCGAAAGAGUGCAAAGGCAGAAGGAAGCUUAACUGAGAGACAGACAUGUCGACCAGAUACGAAAGUAGGGCUUAGUGAUCCGGUGGUUGUAAAUGGAAAUGCCAUCGCUCAACGGACAAAAGUUACCCUGGGGAUAACAGGCUUAUCUCCCCCAAGAGUUCACAUCGACGGGGAGGUUUGGCACCUCGAUGUCGGCUCAUCACAUCCUGGAGCGGAAGUACGUUCCAAGGGUUGGGCUGUUCGCCCAUUAAAGUGGUACGCGAGCUGGGUUCAGAACGUCGUGAGACAGUUCGGUCCUUAUCUGUCGCAGGCGAAGGAUAUUUGAAGGGAGUUGACCUUAGUACGAGAGGACCAGGUUGAAGGAACCGAUGGUGCACCAGUUGUACUACCAAGUGCAUAGCUGGAUAGCUAAGUUCCGAAGGGAUAAACGCUGAAAGCAUCUAAGUGUGAAGCCCACCCUAAGAUAAGAUAUCCCAUAUCGAAAGAUAGUAAGAUUCCAAUAAGACUAAUUGGUAGAUAGGUUGGAGGUGUAAGUAUAGUGAUAUAUUGAGCUGACCAAUACUAAUAAAUCGAGGGCUUAACUAU